GUUGUAAUCUGGAGAAGUGCUUUCCGUGCUGGACCGUGUACAAGUCUCUUGGAACAGAGCGUCAUAGAGGGUGAGAAUCCCGUCUUUGACACGGACUACCAGUGCUUUGUGAUGCGCUCUCAAAGAGUCGAGUUGUUUGGGAAUGCAGCUCAAAAUGGGUGGUAAAUUCCAUCUAAAGCUAAAUAUUGGCGAGAGACCGAUAGCGAACAAGUACCGUGAGGGAAAGAUGAAAAGAACUUUGGAAAGAGAGUUAAACAGUACGUGAAAUUGCUGAAAGGGAAACGCUUGAAGUCAGUCGCGUUGGCCGGAACUCAGCCUGGCUUUGGCUUGGUGCAUUUUCUGGUUGACGGGUCAGCAUCAGUUUUGAUUGUCGGAUAAUGGUUGGGGGAAUGUGGCAUCUUCGGAUGUGUUAUAGCCCUCAGUCGCAUACGAUGGUUGGGACUGAGGAUCUCAGCACACCUUUAUGGUCGGGGUUCGCCCACGUUUGUGCUUAGGAUGCUGGCAUAAUGGCUUUAAACGACCCGUCUUGAAACACGGACCAAGGAGUCUAACAUGCAUGCGAGUGUUUGGGUGGAAAACCCGAGCGCGUAAUGAAAGUGAAAGUUGAGAUCCCUGUCGUGGGGAGCAUCGACGCCCGGACCAGACCUUCUGUGACGGCUCUGCGGUGGAGCAUGUAUGUUGGGACCCGAAAGAUGGUGAACUAUGCCUGAAUAGGGUGAAGCCAGAGGAAACUCUGGUG
rnacentral:rRNA from 2 species